GAGAAACGCUGGCGGCGCACAUAAGACAUGCAAGUCGAACGGAAUUUAGUCGAAUGUUUACAUGAGACGAAAAUUUAGUGGCGGACGGGUGAGUAACACGUGAGCAACCUGCUUUUAAGAGGGGGAUAACAUUGAGAAAUCAGUGCUAAUACCGCAUAAAGCUGUAUAAUCGCAUGAUUAAACAGCCAAAGGAGAAAUCCGCUUAAAGAUGGGCUCGCGGCUGAUUAGUUAGUUGGUGGGGUAAUGGCCUACCAAGACGAUGAUCAGUAGCCGAGCUGAGAGGCACAACGGCCACAUUGGGACUGAGACACGGCCCAGACUCCUACGGGAGGCAGCAGUCGGGAAUAUUGCACAAUGGAGGAAACUACUGAUGCAGUGACGCCGCGUAUAGGAAGAAGGUCUUUGGAUUGUAAACUAUUGUCGACAGGGAGAAAAAAUGACAGU
rnacentral:rRNA from 1 species